CCACAUACCUGAUUGUGAAACGAUAGUUAUAGAAGAUUUCAAGGAUACAGUCAUCGUGAUUGGGUGCGGAAAACUGAAGGGCCCUCAGUUCAUAGAGUUGUUUCAGGGGGUUGGACCAAUAAAGGUUGCAGACGACGGCAACACACUGGCCCGGAUAAACCUACAGCGUCAAGAGGGAAUCGUGACCUAUCAGAACUCCGAGCUUGCCAAAAAAGCCAUUGCAACCUUGAACGAAACAACAGCAGCAACAAAUACAAUCAUGUUAUGGUCAGGAGGUGGUUCCCGGUAAAAAGAAAACGACAGGUGUAAUCUUGUCUGUACAGUCAAAAUUAUAAGACGAAAAAGCUGAUAUUGAUGCUCCAUGUUAAACUAUGUUUUUGAAGUUCAACAUUUAUUUAAACAUCGGAGUAUAACAUCACUACUUAAUGAUACAAAUCAAAGCUUUAAUCGCAAAAAGUAUUGUUGUUCAAACGGGAAAGAAGUUGUUCGUGUUUAGCACUAACAACAUAAUGCUACUUUUUUAUUGUUCAAACAGUGCGCACUUUAACUUUUGUUUUUUACGCCAUACGCAUCGCACCGGUGUUAUUUCAAUGCUUAUGAGCUUUGCGUCUUGUUUAUGAGUGUUUAACAAGCAUUCUAAACUUUAAGCGUUGUUAAGUAUAUUAUACUUUGCUGAUUGUUGGUUGUUGCACUUUUGUAUGUCAUUAUUUUGUUCUCAUUGUUGUAUACAUGUAGUUGUAUUAUCGGCAUGUUGAAAUGAAAAUAAGACAUGACAAUAUA